rnacentral:lncRNA from 1 species
UCCCCAAACAGGGAUAACCGAGCACUCUGAAUAUGGCCAGCACCUUCCAUGGAGGCGACUCCCUGAGAAAGGGGAAGUUGCAUGAGUACUAGUAUUCAUCUCUUCUUCUUGACUCUAGAUGAAAUGUGACCAGCUGCCUCACUCUCCUGCAGCGCCUUCCCUACAGCGACAGACCAUGCCCUCCCAAAAUGUCCUCCCUACCAAAUGGACCACGCCCUUCAACCUGUGAGCCCAACUAACCCUCCCUUCCUUAAGUUGCUUUUGUCGGGCAUUUCGUCACAUCAAUGAGGAAAAGAACUAAUACAACCUGACCCUCAAAUCCACAAGAAUAUUGAAGAAGUGGCGGAGCCUGGCUUGUUGGAGCUACAAAGACUAAGGUGUCUACCCUAAGACCCCAGCCUGAGCAUGGGACAAGCAAGGAGGAAGAUGUCAUUCUGUGCAUUCACCCAGAGGCCAGAGACUGUAGCCAUCUGUUCAGAUGAGGCCUGGGAUUGGCGGGGAAAACAACUUCAGAAUCCUGUUCUCUGACCUCUACUCAUACCAUGGCGUGUGCACUCAACAAACACACUUUCCAGACAAACGAACUAACGAACUUUAAAACGAUGAGACAUCUGGGAAAGAACUUAGGAGAGAAUAAUGGUGACCGUUUGUCUAAUAAAAGACUUCCAAGAAAAGACAACAGAGAAAACAAGUAAAAGAAGAAAGU